GCCGGGUUUGGUGGCGCGUGCCUGUAAUCCUAGCUACUGGGGAGGCUGAGGCAGGAGAAUUGCUUGAACCUGGGAGGCAGAAGUUGCAGUGAGCUGAGAUCAUGCAACUGCACUCCAGCCUGGGCAACAGAGCAAUAUUCUGUCUCAA
ensembl:misc_RNA Metazoa_SRP Metazoan signal recognition particle RNA